rnacentral:misc_RNA from 1 species
AAGUCGUAACAAGGUUUCCGUAGGUGAACCUGCGGAAGGAUCAUUACAAGGUUCUUAGUGCCAUCUCGGAAAGAGAUCCCAUCCCAAGGUAUCCCACCCGUGUCUAUAUACCCUUGUUGCUUUGGCGGGGCGUGGCCUCCACUGCGGGCUCUGCUCGUCACGUACCCGCCAGAGGACCAAAGCUCUGAAUGUUAGUGAUGUCCUGAGUACUAUAUAUAGUUAAA